GGUCUUUUAGUAUAAUGGUCGUACAGCAACCCUUCAAGUUGCUAGUGUCAGUUCGAAUCUGGUAAAGGCUA
rnacentral:tRNA from 2 species